UCCCGUGUGGCUCAGUUGGUAGAGCAUGGCACUUGCAAUGCCAGGGUUGUCAGUUCAAUUCCCACGGGGC
rfam:Salmo salar isolate Sally breed double haploid chromosome ssa09, whole genome shotgun sequence.